rnacentral:misc_RNA from 1 species
GAUGAAGAACGGAGCGAAAUGCGAUAAGUAAUGUGAAUUGCAGAAUUCAGUGAAUCAUCGAAUCUUUGAACGCACAUUGCGCCCGCCAGUAUUCUGGCGGGCAUGCCUGUUCGAGCGUCAUUACAACCCUCAGGCCCCCGGGCCUGGCGUUGGGGAUCGGCGGAAGCCCCCUGUGGGCACACGCCGUCCCUCAAAUACAGUGGCGGUCCCGCCGCAGCUUCCAUUGCGUAGUAGCUAACACCUCGCAACUGGAGAGCGGCGCGGCCAUGCCGUAAAACACCCAACUUCUGAAUGUUGACCUCGAAUCAGGAAGGAAUACCCGCUGAACUUAAGCAUAUCAAUAAGCGGAGGA